CAGUCGCCACGGGAAUACGAAGGGGGCUAGCGUUACUCGGAAUCACUGGGCGUAAAGGGUGCGUAGGCGGGUUUCUAAGUCAGGGGUGAAAUCCUGGAGCUCAACUCCAGAACUGCCCUUGAUACUGGAAGUCUUGAGUAUGGGAGAGGUGAGUGGAAUUCCGAGUGUAGAGGUGAAAUUCGUAGAUAUUCGGAAGAACACCAGUGGCGAAGGCGGCUCACUGGACGCGUAUUGACGCUGAGGUACGAAAGCGUGGGGAGCAAACAGGAUUAGAUACCCCCGUAGUCCCUGUCUCUUAUAC
rnacentral:rRNA from 1 species